rfam:Gossypium hirsutum cultivar TM-1 chromosome 23, whole genome shotgun sequence
AACCCUUGGUAAGGGCACCUUCUCAAUAAAUCCUCGUAUCUCUCCUAUGCAUCAUAAAGUGUUUCUAAAUCCAUCUGCACAAAAGAAGAGAUAUCAUUCCUCAAUUU